CAAGGACCCGUGCUCACCCAAUCCACUGGUGUUACCAGGUUACCCACCAUCCUGAAGCAGCAGGCUUGACCCGCAGAAAUGGAGAACACGCAAAGGACAGAGAGGGGCAUCAGGAACCAACACACAGAGAAAACACCAUGUGAGGACACAGCAAAAAGACAGCCGCCUGCAAGACCAGAAGAGGCCUCAGGAAAAAUCAACCUGCCGGCCCCUUGAUAUUGGACUUCCCACCUCCAGAACUGUCCCUGUUCGGGCGCCACUUGACGGUGCCUGCCGUGGAAGUCGAACAGUCUGAAGGGGAGGCGUGGAGCUGAAUAAAUGUACAACUCACUCUGAGAGGACUCCCAGUCAAGCCGGCACGCAACAUAUAGCCUUUAUUUUCCUCUUUUUAUACACACUCAGAAGGGGCAGGUUAACCAGGGAUCAAGAAACAUGUGCUUGAGUGUUGACAUACUUUUUUACAAAACAAGCAUACUCUGUCCUCAGGAUAGAUCCUAUCUCAGCAUACUCAGACUCAACAUCUAGGACUUGUUAUUAUUCUUAGGAAACUCUCUUAUCCCUGACCAUUCUUUCACCCCAGUCUCUCAGCUGUCCUCUCUCAGUUCCCUUCAGGUUUCAGCCGUCCCCAACAAUAUCGAUUUGUCUUACUUAGAAUUUCAUAUAAUAAAACCACACAGUCUGUACUCCUUUGUGUCUGGCUUCUUUCAUCCAGCAUGAUAUUUUAAAAAUUGAUCCAUGUUGUUAUGUUAUCAGAAAGUCAUCUUGGUUUUGCUAAGUAGUAUACUAUUGUAUGAACUUCUACAGUUUGUUUAUCCAUUCAUAUACUCAUGAAAAUUUGGAUUGUAUGCAGUUUAUGUCUAUGAUAAGCUGCUCGGAACAAUUGUAUACAAUUCUUUGUGUAGACAUAUGUUUUUAUUUCUCUUGAGUAACUGUCUAGAUCUAGAAUUGCUAGGUCAUAAUGAUGAGUACAUGUUUAUUUAUCUUGAUAAGAAAAUCCUCAAGAGUUUUCCAGUGUGGUUAUACCAUUUUACCUUCCCCACCUGAAAUAUAUGACAGUUCCAAUUGCUCCACAUACUUACCAACAUUUGGGGUUGUCAGUCUUUCAAUUCUAGCCAUUCAAGUCAGUGUGUAGUGAUAUCUCAUUGUGAAUUUAAUUUGCAUUCUCUGAUGACUAAUGAUAUUGACAUUGAUUCAUGUGCUUAUUCACCAUCUAUAUAUGCUCCUUUAUGAAAUAUCUGUUCAAAUCUUUGGCUUAUAUUACAUUGGGCUCUUUGUCUUCUUAUUAUGAGUUGUAAGAGUUUUCUAUGUAUUUAGAACACAUAAAGAUCUCAUGUAUUUUAUGUUUGUAUUGGAUAUUUUCACUCAAUCUGUGGUUUCUGUUUUCAGUUUCUUAAUGAUGUCUUUAAAAGAAUGACUAGCAAAAUCUAAUGAUCAAUGAUUUUUAUGGUUUGUGCUUUUGGUGUUUAUAAAAAAAACUUUGCUUAUCCCAAGGUUAUCAAGACUUUUACCUGAUAUUCUCCUAGAAAAUUUGUAGCUUUAGCAUUUAUGGUUAGGUGAAUUAUCCAUUUCAAGUUAGUUUUUGUGUAUGGUAUGAGGUAAAGAAUUUUUUUUCCUACCAUUUUUUUCCUUAUAGAUAUCUCAUAAUGUCAGCACAGUUUGUUUAAAAGAUAACAUUUUCCCUAUUGUUUUUUACUGGCUACUAGGUCUGUUUCUGUUGACUGGUUUUUCUACUAAUUAUAGAUCUCAGUUUCCUGACUUUUAGUAUCUCAUGAUUUUUUCAUCUCCUGGGUAUCGUGAAGUUUAUACUGUUGAGAAUCUUUCCUUUGUUGUCUUCCUUUAAGGAGUCUGGGCUGUGCCCUGACAGACCAUGAAGUUACUUGCUGUUCAGUUUGAUCCUUUCAAGUGUUGUUUUUAAGCUUUGUUAAGGUCUAGAGUAUCCUGUACUAUUAGGUCUAGUUUAGCUCCACUACGAAGGUGUGGCCCUUCUUGGUCUCUACUGUGUGACAAAUGAGAUCCCUUUCCUGUGACCCUGGGUGCAUUCUGUGGACUGUUUAGCUCAUGGGUACCAGUUGCUCUCUUGCAUGAACUUACAGAAUUGCGUCCUAUGUCUGAGCAGAAUGUCGUUUUGCUAAAGAAUCCGGGGUACUCAUGGUCAGAUUUCUGAAGCUCUUUUCUGUGACAUUUUUCCUCUCUGGAACUCUUUUCCACAGUUCCAGCCACUUCAGACACCGUGAACUCUUACUUCUGUCUUUGCAACUCAUUGAGGCAACUGCAGUUCUGU